rfam:Aedes albopictus isolate Foshan contig83118, whole genome shotgun sequence.
UGUUCUGUGGCUUAGUUGGUUAAAGCGCCGGUCUAGCGAAUACGGAGUCGUGGGUUCGAAUCCCACCAGAACGC